ensembl:snRNA U6 U6 spliceosomal RNA
GCCUUGAGUUCAAGACACAUGACUGACAAAAAUAAAGGGAUAUUCUAAAAUUGGAACAAUACAUAGAAGAUUAGGAUGGCCCCUGUGCAAGGAUGACACGCAAAUUCAUGAAGCCUUCCAUAUUUUU